AUCGCUUCUCGGCCUAUCAGCUAAGAUCAAAAGUGUAUUAUCUAUUCUUAUCAACUUAACAUCUGAUGCACUUCUACGUGAAGUGCCAAAUGUUAAACUAAUUUUUGAAAACUGGGUACAGUUA